GUGCUCACUUCGGCAGCAUAUAUACUAAUAUUGGAACGACACAGAGAAGAUUAGCAUGGCCCCUGUGCAAGGAUGACAUGCAAAUUUGUGAAGCUUUCCAUAUUUUA